CUAUCUAAUAGUUAAAACUUUCAACAACGGAUCUCUUGGUUCUGGCAUCGAUGAAGAACGCAGCGAAAUGCGAUAAGUAAUGUGAAUUGCAGAAUUCAGUGAAUCAUCGAAUCUUUGAACGCACAUUGCGCCCCGUGGUAUUCCGCGGGGCAUGCCUGUUCGAGCGUCAUUAUGACCAAU
rnacentral:rRNA from 1 species